rnacentral:lncRNA from 1 species
GGAAAUGGCCCUGGUUUCCUUUUGUUUCCUUUUGUGGUGGUGACAUAGAAGUUCCUUCCCAAAUAAAUUCAUUUAAGUUUUUUUUUUGUUUUUUUUUAAAGGAAAAGCAAGUUGAUUGAAGGAAAAAUCUGUGGUCCGGGGAGAUGUUCCAAAUCCUGGAGGUGGAGAGGAAUGAAUGACGUUUGUGGCUUGCAGAUCAACUCCCCGCAGGGGGCGUGACGUUGUCACAGCCAAAAUUGUCCUCCACGCGCUGCUACGACAUCCAGCUGCCCUCUGGACCUCACCCAGGGACGCUGCUAUGAUCACUGAGCCAUUCACCAAUAUUCCAGCUCUUUCUCCCUCCAGGUACAAGAGACGAGAAGUCUCGCCAUGUUGCCCGGGCUGGUCUCCAACUCUUGGGCUCAAGACAUCCUCCUGCUUCGGGCUCCCUCAGUGCUGAGAUUUCAGCACACAGAGGAAAGGCCAUGUGAGGACACAGCAAGACGGCAGCCGUCUGCAAGCCAAGAAGAGAGUCCUCACUAGGAAUC